CAGCCAAGGUCCAAGAGUUUCUUCUUCCUCCGCCGGCAGGCUGGAGUGCAAAGUGCGGCUGGUGGCCGGACCGAUCCUCCUCCGACUUCUGCUAUUUGAUUCAACGCAGGCCCACCAAGACCUGGAAGGAGGCGCGAGACGACUGCCUCCGCCGCGGAGGCGAUCUGCUCAGCAUCACCAACUCACAUGAACAGGCCUUCAUACAAAGUCUGUACACUUUUCUGCCGAGCUCUCCCUCUCUGUGGUUGGGCGUCAACAACAACAUCACGAAAGACGGCAGCGAGUGGACUGACGGAUCCCCGUUCGGUUACGUGCUCAUGGACGGAGAUGACCCCGGUGACCUCUCUGGUGCACCCUGUCUUUCCUUACUCACAAGCAACGGUCGCUGGAAGUUUGACGAUUGCCGGAAGAAGACAGGCUACAUCUGCAAGAAAAGAGGU